AUGACCAUGGUGUGGUCACUUGCGCAAGAAGUUCUUGAACCAUUCCCAUGCCUCAUAAUAAUAUUCAUCAUUUGACAGGUGAAAAAAAGAUGAUUUCGUUCCUGAACUU